GAUGAACGCUGGCGGCGUGCCUAAUACAUGCAAGUCGAGCGAACAGAUGAGGAGCUUGCUCCUCUGACGUUAGCGGCGGACGGGUGAGUAACACGUGGAUAACCUACCUAUAAGACUGGGAUAACUUCGGGAAACCGGAGCUAAUACCGGAUAAUAUAUUGAACCGCAUGGUUCAAUAGUGAAAGACGGUUUUGCUGUCACUUAUAGAUGGAUCCGCGCCGCAUUAGCUAGUUGGUAAGGUAACGGCUUACCAAGGCAACGAUGCGUAGCCGACCUGAGAGGGUGAUCGGCCACACUGGAACUGAGACACGGUCCAGACUCCUACGGGAGGCAGCAGUAGGGAAUCUUCCGCAAUGGGCGAAAGCCUGACGGAGCAACGCCGCGUGAGUGAUGAAGGUCUUCGGAUCGUAAAACUCUGUUAUUAGGGAAGAACAAAUGGGUAAGUAACUAUGCACGUCUUGACGGUACCUAAUCAGAAAGCCACGGCUAACUACGUG
rnacentral:rRNA from 1 species